rnacentral:rRNA from 1 species
UACGUAGGGUGCAAGCGUUGUCCGGAAUUAUUGGGCGUAAAGAGCUCGUAGGCGGUUUGUCGCGUCGGCUGUGAAAACCUGGGGCUCAACCCCGGGCCUGCAUUCGAUACGGGCAGACUAGAGUUCGGUAGAGGAGUCUGGAAUUCCAGGUGUAGCGGUGAAAUGCGUAGAUAUCUGGAGGAACACCGGUGGCGAAGGCGGCAUCCUGGACCAAUAUUGACGCUGAGGAGCGAAAGCCAGGGGAGCAAACGGG